rnacentral:lncRNA from 1 species
AAGAAGGGGUACGCACGGUCCCCGAGACACGUCAGGGCUCUGCUGGGUUUCGAUAUUGAAGCUACCUGAUAGAAGCAUCAGGGGCACCGCCCGGGACAGUCGGUGACAGUUAACGCAGCCUGCGGGGGACACCAGGCGGGCUGUUCAAGUCCAGCCUACCUGUCUGGCAGGUGGAGAGCUUGGCGGGAGUCAGAAGACACACCCUCCCCUGUCUGCUCGGGAGAGACACACGAGCUGCUUCCUGAGGAGAGGAGAGGAGAGGAGACGGCUAUAAAUCAACCAAAA